GACGAACGCUGGCGGCGUGCCUAAUACAUGCAAGUCGAACGAAGCGGGGACGGGUGAGUAACAAGUGGAUAACCACCAAUAAGACUGGGAUAACUUCGGGACACCGGAGCUAUACCGAAUACGGAUUGAUGGAUCCGCGCUGCAUUAGCUAGUUGGUAAGGUAACGGCUUACCAAGGCAACGAUGCAUAGCCGACCUGAGAGGGUGAUCGGCCACACUGGAACUGAGACACGGUCCAGACUCCUACGGGAGGCAGCAGUAGGGAAUCUUCCGCAAUGGGCGAAAGCCUGACGGAGCAACGCCGCGUGAGUGAUGAAGGUCUUCGGAUCGUAAAACUUUGUUAUUAGGGAAGCGGUACCUAAUCAGAAAGCCACGGCUAACUACGUGCCAGCAGCCGCGGUAAUAC
rnacentral:rRNA from 1 species